rnacentral:lncRNA from 1 species
GCAAUUGCUUUUGAGGACUUAGCCAGCGUUCUUUGCCAACGCCAACGUCAAGAAGACGUUGUCUUCCAGGAUGUUUAUAGUUUGACGUCUUGCAUUUGAGUCUUUAAUCCAUCUAGAGUUGAUUUUCGUCUAUGCGGAAGGGUAAGAGUCCAGUUUCCUUCUUCUGCCUGUGACUGAGCUGCUUAUCCCAGCACCAUCUAUCGGACAGGGAGUCCUUUCCCCGCGGCUUGUUUUCGUUGGUCUUGUCAAAGACCAGACGGGUGUAUGUGUGCAGCUUCAUGUCUGAGUUUUCUAUUCUGUUCUAUAUGAUAAUGAAACCAAAUCAAUGUCUCUGCUCAGACCCCUUCUGACAAGGUCUGUGGCGCCCACCAUGGCGUUAGGGCCACAGCCUCCUGCCCCAUGUGCCAGGCCCGGCUCUGCCCAGCUCCCUGCAGCUGCGCCAGUGUGUGCUGUGACUCGUGCUCCUGGUUUGUCAUCUGCCUCUCAGUAGACACCACGGCCUUCAAGCUUUCUCCGCUCCGUGACCAGCAGCUGGGACGGGACCAGCAGUGCAUGCGGCUCUGGAUUCAUGUUUGUUGAAUGACUGACUGAACGGAGGCUCCCUUACAGAAGUGAACGGCGCGGCCCUCCCUGAGUUCCGGCCUGGCUCUGGAUACCAAGGAGCAAGGUGGUCAGGGGUCAGGGGCUGGAGUGGGGAGAUUGCCUGGGAGGGGGCUGGAGGGUGUGGUGGAACUGCAGGUUCUCUCCUUGACAUGCCUGUGGGGGAGCCUUUCCCGGCCCUCUCUCCGCUGGUUUUCACCCUUUCUCCGGUGCAGCCACACUGGGCAUCCCACCCCAGGGAUCCAGGAAGGGGGCGUGUCGGCCGAGUGCGAGCCCGUUUCUGAACACCCUGUGAAGUUGGUGAGAAUUCAGGUGCCUAUCGGCCGGGCUCCACCUGUGCACCAGGUGUGGCCGCCUCACUGUGACUUCAAAGGUCCCCGGGGAGGAAGGAGGCUCCCAGCUGCACACAGCCACAGUCUAGUCCUAGCAGCAGUGACCUUGGUUUGGAGCCCGGGUUGGGGACCCCAGUGAUGCCAAUUUUCUUUGCCCUCAUCAUCCCAAGGCGGCUGCUGCAGUUUCAGACAUCACAACUUUGUUCAGCGCAAAGGAGAAGGGGGACAGGGGAUGAGAAAACUGGAGUUCGGAGAUGGGCUUGCUCACGGCCUCACAGCCAGGGAGCCUGCUCACCCCAGUGUGUGCCCAGCCAGAAACCUGCGUCUGGGCCCCCAGAGGCUGGGCUCCUCACAGUGGGGACCCACCAUGUCCACUGCCUGCAGGAACCGACAGAGAGGCUGUGAUGCUGAGCCCCGGCCUCAUGCAACAAAGCUUUGCCCGACGGAAUGCACCCAGCGGCAGUGGAGAGCAGUGCUGGAUCCUGCGGGGUUGAGGCGGUGGAGCUUGGCCGUACAUGAAGUGUAGUGCCAGGAUCUGCUUCUGAUGAGGCCUCAGGAAGCUUCCAGUUGUGGUGGAAGGAUGACCCACGCCAUUCAGGAAGGACCCACUCCUGUGAUCCAAACACCUCCUACCAGCCCCCACCUCCAGCACUGGUGAUUACAUUUCAACAUGAGAUCUGUGGGGACAAACAUCUAAACCAUAUCGAGUGGGCUCAGGAGGCAGCAGCCCUGGAAGAUGCCGAGUGCCUGGGAGGACAGAGGAAGAUGCCGGAGUUCACGGGUGCCAUGUGCAGGUGCAGCUCCUGCCAGGCGGCUGAAGAUGGGGCUCCAGGUGGUGGCAGUGCCCCAGCCCCACCAGUCCUUCCUGGGGAGAGGGUCACGGCUCAGUGGCUGAAGGGCUGGGGGGCUUGUCUGAAAGGAGUGAAUGCCUGCCCAUCAGGCACUUUCGGAAAAAGCUGGAAACCAAGAUUUCCCUGAGAAGUCCUGGGCUUUCUGGUGUUGGGAACUAUAGGAAGCAGCCGGCUUCUGCUUCCCCUCCAGGGUCCAGGAGAGAAUUUGUUUUGGACAAACCUUCUAGGCCACAUGCUUGGAGCACCUCUGACCUCACCCAGUGCCAUGCCCCCCAGCUGAGGCCCGGCCCCUGCAUGUGUUCAGGGAUGUGAGGUCAGGGAGUGGUUCAGGGAUGUGAGGCCUAGCACUGGUCCGCAGGCCUCUGGGAGCCCUCUGGGCCCCUUGCAGAGCGGGGCAGCACUUGGCUGAGGACUGCGAGGGCUGAGCUGUCCUGACCCAGUCCUGGGAUAGCAGAGCCGCCCACCCUGCCUGGGGGCUCCUGGGUGUCUCCUGCAGCCACGCCACUUGUAGCUGGGUUCUGUCCUGGGACAGCAGAGACACCCAGCCUGUCUCAGGUCUCCAGGGCGUCUCCUGCAGCCACGCCACUUGUAGCUGGGCUCUGUGCUUGUUGUCAGUGCAGCCCCAGCAGCCCAGAGCGGUUCACAAGCUCCCAGACCGAUUUACCUGCUCCAGUGAAACUCCUAUGAGGGCACUGAAACUUCCCAUUAUUACAGGGCUCCGGCCCACAGCCAUGGGGAUGCCCCUUCCCACACCAGCUCCUGCAACUGGAAGGCUGUGGGCCACUCACUCUGAAGCCUCCCCUUUCCAGACACAAGGGCAGGAGUCAAGGGCAGUGGCAACAUCCCCCAGAGAUGCCGAUGGACGGUGUUUCAACCUAAAUCGGACAGCCGCACUCCCUCCCUGGCCACACAGCAGGACAGAGACCAGGACACAGCGGCCCACCCGCUGCCCUCACACUCCCCUCCUCCACGGUGUGAACUAAACCGCACACGUGGCCUGUUACUCGGACAAGGUGGGAAGGUGUGGCCCCACCCCCUCCUAAGACAUUACGAUGCGGAGAACCCCCAAGCCCACCCUCAACUGUGUUCACUGGAAACAGCCCAGCAAGGGCUACGUGUGCCUUCCGGUUUCACAUUUGGGAAGUGGGUAAAAUGCAGUAUUGACAGUUCUCAAAUAUUGGUGUUGAUCUUAACUGCUAGAGAUACCGUGAGGGAAAAGAGCGCUUUUGUUCAACGUUUAUGAAUGGAUAAAGGAGGAACUGAAACCAGCAAAGGGGCGGCUGGCCCUGGACCAGACGCGGCUUCGCCGAGGAGCUGUGGGCAGGGUGGGCCGGCACCUCCUUUCCUCUCGAGAAGGAUGUGGAGAGCAGGUGGCUCGUGCCACCUGCCUCCCUGGCCCUCGUCCAUGCCUCUGCACUGACCGCUGGGCUCCUGCCGCCCGGGGAUGUGGGGAAAGGCCUUGGAGUGGGAUGGAGGUCCGCGUGUGGGUGUGUGGCAGGUACCGGUGGAUUGAGGUCCAUGUGUGGGUGUGAACCUGGGUGUGAGACUGUGUGUGGGUGGGUGUGUACGUGAGUGUGCAUGUGCACGUACACCUGUGUAUGUAUGCGUGUGAGGUGUGUGAACUGUGAGUGUGCUGUGGCUGUGAGCGUGUGCACACGUGAACUGAGCGUGACAGUGCGAAUGUGUGUGCCGCGAAUUCCACUGGCCACAUGAAUGCAGGCGAGGCCGCUCCGCUAGGCUGUGGAUUUCCAGCAUGGCCACGCUGGUUGCCUGUGUUGUCUUGUUGACACAGGAUGGAGAAAGAACGAUGCAGGAUGCAUCUCUGAGCCUGGCUCAGGCACCCAGAGGGAGCUGGGUUUGGGAGCAGCUGCUCUGCGUAGCCCUGGCUUGGAUGCUGCGAGCCAGGUUUAGGGAUGCCAGUGAGACCCGCUGAAGCGUUGGGGCCCUACCCGAGGUGAGGCGUGCCCAGGUCUGGGGACUCCUGUCUUGGGGCCCCUCCCAGGAGAACCACCCCCCUCCUCUGGCAGGAAGCCCCCAAAGCUGUGGAGGAGCCCUGGGCCCACAGACAGCAUCCCUGCUGCUGGGGACCCCAGGCCUGUGCGGGUGCCGCUGCCAUGGGGCUGAUGGGGCCCAGCCCAGCAGCCCCUGCCUUUGCUUUCCCGGCUUCUCUGCGGCUCUGUGCUUUUGCUGCCCCAUUCCAGGCCGGAAGGCUCCCGCGCCUCCAUGGAUCUUCAUGAUUUGGCCAACCAGAGUGAGCACCGUGAGGAAGUGGAGACAGACACAACUUUCAGCAGCAGAAGACAGGAUAAUAAAGUUGGGUUUGGUUUAUGAUCUAACGUGACCAUUAAAAGUGUUUAAUAAACAACGUUAAAGACUACUUAGUGGCAGAUGCAUCCGGCAAUGCUUAGCAUAGCCUCAUGACUGUCAAUACGCACAGGCUUGAAAAACACCUGCAGGAUACAUGUGGGCAUGUUAGUGUGGGUUAUCUCAGCAGGGCGGCAUAUCGAAUCUCGGUGCCCUUCUGUAGUGUCUAUAUUUUCUACAGUGAAGCUGGGAUACUUUGGUGAGCAGAGGCAUUGUUUUCAAAGUUCCCAUUGGUACUUCCAUCACAUCCCCGUGUGGUUCUGUCCUGGACCGGCUGCCCACUGAGGUCCCACUCGCCCCUACCCUGCCCUGUCUGGCCAGCUGGGUACCUGCCCAGGAGGAAGAGGCUCAGUGUUUGGGGCCUGUGUUAUGCCCUGAAAAGCCACUGCUGUUGGGUGAGGGCCCAUGAGGCCUUCAGUUUGCCAUCGUCAUGUGCUUCUGAAGAGCCAGGAUGCUGUCCACUGUUUGUCUCCUGGCGGGACAGAAUUCCACUCAGUGCAUAUCAGGGGCAGUGAUGGGGCUGGGGGUGUGAGGGCUCAGCUGUGCCCUGAACUCCUUCACAGUCUUGCAGGAGGGGUCAUGGAGCCAUAUCUGGGUUUGCAAUUUUUGGAAAGUUACGUGACGAUCUGCACUCAGGAAUGCUGAGUGUUCGGCAGGCCCCAUGAACAGUGAUCAAAUGUGACGCUGUGUGUCCCACAGCCUAAGGGCUGUGGCAGAGACCAGGAGGGCCAUCAGCUCCCACAGCUUUCGAGUCCACCUCAGGGCUCCUCCUUGCUGACCUCCCUGGGUUGUCAGUGGAGACAGCCACCCUCCCACAGAGCACCUGCCUGAAAUGGGCCAGGCCGCCCCUGUGCCCUGGCUCUUGCUGCACAUGCUGAGGUCAGCACGGAGGCGCCCUCGGGCACCAGCAUGCCCUCGGGUUUGCAGCUUGUCAAAUAUCCCAUGAAGGCAACCUGACCAAAUGUGCUCUAACACCACUGGACCAAUGGAACGUCUUGGGCUGAACAGAUGCAGCCUUGCAUCCACCGCCUGCCACCACCCUCUGUGUACACCCCCUGCACACACCUCUGCACACACCCCCCCUGCACACUGUUGCACAUACCCCCUGCACACAGCCUGUGUACACUCCCUGCACAGAUCCCCUGCACACAACUCCCUCACACAUCCUCUGCACAAACCCUGUGUAUACCCCCUGCACACACCUCUACACAUACCUUCACACACCAUGUAUACCUCCUGCACACACCUCUGCACACACCUCCUGCACACACCUUGUGUACACUCCCUGCACACUGUUGCACACACCCCCUGCACAUAGCCUCUGCACACAGCCUGUGUACACUCCCUGCACAGAUCCCCUGCACACACCUCCCACACACAUCCUCUGCACAAACCCUGUGUAUACCUCCUGCACACACAUCUACACACACCUCCUGCACACACCUUGUGUACACCCCCUGCACACUGUUGCACACACC